rnacentral:rRNA from 1 species
UACGUAGGGUGCAAGCGUUAUCCGGAAUUAUUUGGGCGUAAAGAGCUCGUAGGCGGUUUGUCGCGUCUGCUGUGAAAAUUUUCGGGGGCUCAACCCCCGGACUUUGCAGUGGGGUACGGGGCAGACUAGAGUGUGGUAGGGGGAGACUGGAAUUCCUGGUGUAGCGGUGAAAAUGCGCAGAUAUCAGGAGGAACACCGGUGGCGAAGGCGGUUCUCUGGGGCAUGUCCUGACGUAAAGGGAGCGAAAAGUGUGGGGGAGCGAACAGG